rnacentral:tRNA from 1 species
GAGGGUAUAGCCUAGUGGUAGAAGGCUUAGCGUACAUGAGGUCCUGGGUUCAAUCCCCAGUAAUUCCA